UGAGUCCUGGCCUCCCGCUUUCCUCGUGAAACAGACACCAUGAGCUUCAGCACCCAGUCCAGCUUCUUCAACUACCGGUCCACUGGUUCCAUGUAGUCGUGCUACGCACCAUGACCAGUCAGCAGCAUGGCCAGUGUCUCUGUAGGCGACGGGGGCUGAGAUCGGAUCUCUGUGUCCCGCUCCACCAGCGUACGGGGCGACUGGGGUUCCGUGAACCUGGGCACGCGGAUGGUCGGGUGUGUGGUGGGCGUAGGGGGCAUCCAGGGAGAGAAGGAGACCAUGCAAGACCAAAUGACUGCCUGACCUCCUAUCUAGAGAAGGUGAGGAGCCUGUAGGCUGACAAUCGGAGACUGGAGAUCAAAAUUCGGAAACACCUGGAGAAGAAAGGACCCCAGGUCCGAGACUGGAGGCAUUACUUGAAGACCAUUGAGGACCUGAGGGCUAAGGUCUUUGCAAAUUCUGUGGACAAUGUCCGUCUCACUGCUGAUAACUUCAGAGUCAAGUAUGAGAUGGAGCUCGCUAUGUGCCAGUCUGUGGAGAGUGACAUCCAUGGACUCCACAAGGUCAUUGAUGACACCAAUGUCACUCACCUGCAGCUGGAGACAGAGAUUGAGGCUCUCAAAGAGGAGCUGCUCUUUAUGAAGAAGAAUCAUGAGGAGGAAGUAAAGGGUCUACAAAACCAGAUUGCCAGUUCUGGGCUGACUGUGGAGUUGGAUACCCCCAAGUCUCAGGACCUGAGCAAGAUCAUGGCAGACAUCUGGGCUCAGUAUGAUGAGCUAGCUCGGAAGAACCAAGAGGAGCUGGACAAGUACUGGUCUCAUCAGAUUGAGGAGAGCACCACAGUGGUCACCUCACAGACCGCUGAGAUAGGAGCUGCUGAGAUGACCCUCAAGGAGCUGAGACGGAAUGUGCAGUCCCUAGAGAUUGACCUGGACUCUAUGAGAAACCUAAAGGCCAGCUUGGAGAAUAGCCUGAAGGAGGUGGAGGACCGCUACGCCAUUCAGAUGGAGCAGCUCAGCGGGUUUCUACUGUAUCUGGAGUCGGAGCUGGCCCCAACCCGGGCAGAGAGGCAAUGCCAGAACCAGGAGUACGAGGCCCUGCUGAACAUCAAGGUCAAGCUGGAGGCUGAGAUCAACACCUACCACCGCCUGCUGAAAGAUGGGGAGGACUUCAAUCUUAGUGACGCCGUGGACAGCAGCAAUUCCAGGCAAACCAUCCAGAAGACCACCACCCUCAGGCUUGUGGAUGGCAGUUCUGAAGUUCUGAAGUAUUAAGAAGGCAGAAUUGAUGCCCUUUGGGAAGUGAGA